ensembl:lncRNA
GCAGGGAUUCUGUAUAAAGAGCUCUCCUCUGCAACCUCCCUGUAAUGUGUUGCUGUCAGUGACAUUGAGAGUCUCCAGGUUCCUGUUCUCUGUGCUGACUUCAGAGAUUCGAGAUAAAGAAUGGAAUCGGCCUCUGGAGUCCACAUCUGCAGUCUGCAUCCCGACACAGUGCGGUGCUUCGCUCUCAGCAGCCUGAGGGCUUCGUGACUUCCUGUAAGAGCGCUCAGAGACGUUUUGGAGGACGAGGUGGUGGUGAGGCAGCAUUGCUGAGCUCAGAGCUUUCGCACUGUGGAGAACUAGCUUUCAAGGUGA